ACGCAUGUUCCGUACUUCCUUACUUCUCAUAGUGAUUGUGAUACUUAUGGAAUGUAAAGAAGUAUGGAGCUUUCGU
rnacentral:pre_miRNA from 1 species